UACGUAGGGUGCAAGCGUUGUCCGGAAUUACUGGGCGUAAAGCGUGCGCAGACGGUCUCGUAAGUCAGACGUGAAAUCCCUCAGCUUAACUGGGGAACUGCGUCUGAUACUGGAUGGCUUGAGUUUGGGAGAGGGAUGUGGAAUUCCAGGUGUAGCGGUGAAAUGCGUAGAUAUCUGGAGGAACACCGGUGGCGAAGGCGACAUCCUGGACCGGUAUGACGCUGAGGCGCGAAAGCCAGGGGAGCAAACGGG
rnacentral:rRNA from 1 species